CUGCUUCACUCUAAGAGGAAAAACGAAACAAAAAGCACCUCGAACUCUGUUCCCAGGAGCCCCGCGGCGGGGGAAGUAAACGUUGGCCAAUGAGGGCAGCUUUCCCUGGCCCCGCCCCUGCGGCGUUCCCGCCUUUUGCCUCCGGUGGGAGGGAAGAGGUUUCUCAAGCACAGCACAGGCGUUGUCAAGGGAAGGUAACUGCUCGCAAAAAGCACGUGCUGCGAGGGACACAGGGAGCCAAAAAAGCCAAAUAGUUAAGGGGCGAAAAGUGUCUAUUAGGGUGAGGCCAAAGAGCGAAAAAAACACAGAGAACGAAGGUUAUUUCUGCCAAGCUGGGGAGAGCAACACGCUGGCCGAGUGGAAGGCUGAGGAGAUUCCUGAGAUGUUUGAGGAAAACAUCCAGCUAAGGGGGAAAAAAGUGAGGAAUUUUGAAAUGGGACACUUACCUGCACUGUGAGCAGAUCUCACAUAGGGGAAUCAGAGAGUGGCCCACCAGUGAGACCAUCCUCCCUGGACAAGUUCUUCAAACACUAUGAGAGUUUCUUUGUUAUUUGCCACAUGUUUCAGUGACGAACAUCAUUACCAGUCAAGCAACAGAAUGAGGAAUGGUUUGAUCCUUUUCACCCAGUGAUGUACUGCUCUAAAUUCCAAUCCCAGCAGGAAAACUGUCUCCUGUUAAGAAGCAUCCAAGAGCUCACAACCAGGUCCCAUCUCCAGCAUGCACAGCAUGGGUGGUUAACACAGCAGCAGCAAACACUGGGGAAGUGAGUCUAUAAAGAGGUAGCAUAAUUGAGGAGCUAAGCAUGAUUGUUUCAAAUUAUGGAAAUCAUUUUCACCUAAGGGAAGAUCCAGAGGGUUAGCAUGUUUUUAUUUUCCCUGAAAAUUCAACCAAUUCAUUGUUUUAAAUAGAUCCUGUA